rnacentral:rRNA from 1 species
UGGGGAAUAUUGGACAAUGGGCGCAAGCCUGAUCCAGCCAUGCCGCGUGAGUGACGAAGGCCUUAGGGUUGUAAAGCUCUUUUCGGCGGGGAAGAUAAUGACGGUACCCGCAGAAGAAGCCCCGGCUAACUCUGUGCCAGCAGCCGCGGUAAUACAGAGGGGGCAAGCGUUGUUCGGAAUCACUGGGCGUAAAGCGCACGUAGGCGGUUGCGUAAGUCGGAUGUGAAAACUCAGGGCUCAACCCUGAGACGCCAUCCGAUACUGCGCUGACUUGAAUCCAGUAGGGGAGUGUGGAAUUCCUGGUGUAGCGGUGAAAUGCGCAGAUAUCAGGAGGAACACCCAUGGCGAAGGCAGCACUCUGGGCUGGUAUUGACGCUGAGGAGCGAAAGCAUGGGUAGCGAACAGGAUUAGAUACCCCUGUAGUCCCUGAGCGGGCUGGCAAGGCGCAU